CCUACGGGUGGCAACAGUGGGGAAUAUUGCACAAUGGGGGAAACCCUGAUGCAGCGACGCCGCGUGAGUGAAGAAGGAAUUCGGUACGUAAAGCUCUAUCAGCAGGGAAGAAAAUGACGGUACCUGAGUAAGAAGCCCCGGCUAACUACGUCCCAGCAGCCGCGGUAAUACGUAGGGGGCAAGCGUUAUCCGGAUUUACUGGGUGGUAAGGGAGCGUAGACGGUGCGCCAAGGCUGGAGUGAAAUGCCGCAGCUUAACUGCGGAACUGCUUUGGAAACUGGCGAACUAGAGUGCGGGAGGGGUAAGCGGAAUUCCUAGUGUAGCGGUGAAAUGCGUAGAUAUUAGGAGGACCACCGGUGGCGAAGGCGGCUUACUGGACCGUACCUGACGUUGCGGCUCGAAAGCGUGGGGAGCAAACAGGAUUAGAUACCCUUGUAGUC
rnacentral:rRNA from 1 species